UUGAUAAGUUAACAUUGUUUGGUUGGAUAUAUUAUGUGUUUCAUUGCUUAUUAAUUCUUGUAUCAGUUGCCACAAUUGAUGUAAAUUUUAUAAUGAAUUCAAUGUGGAUGUGUCCCAUCUUUUAAGCUUCAGUCUGCACCCAUCAUAAGUCAAUUUUGAACAACUCAAAUCAGGAAGACUUUUACUACUAGAUGAUUGAUUAGAAAGAAUGGAACUAUCACCACAAGUACACAACUAAAGCUUUGAUGAAAACACCGGAGCUCUUUCUAUCUUGAUGAACAUACCAACCGCGUUCUGGUGCCUGAAAAUAAUGUAUCUGCUUCUCAGGAUUGCAUAUGAAAAUCCAGUGUGUAAGCAUGGAUUUCAGAAGGGCUUGUUCCAGGCCUGGAAACACAAAAGCAAUGGAAAAGAAUAAGGAAAUACAGUUUAAAGAAAAGCUCUUGGCAGAAAAAAAGCCAAGAGCCAUAGUGUAGUGUAGUGCAGUUUCAACUUUCAAGCACCAACAGCCAGAUACACCUUUCCAGGUCUAACUAUUUUAGGCUUUAACUCUCAAACAUCCUAGUUUUCAGCAAAAGCUCAACCCUUUAAGUCAAGCAUCAGAAAUGGGAAAAUAAGUUAAUACUCCCUCCGUCCAACAAUAGUUGUCCACUAUACUAUUUUGGGAUGUUCAACAAUACUUGUCCACUUUAUGAAAUCAAUGGAUAAGUUUACACUUAGUUCCUAAUUUACCCUAUCAUUAAUUAUAGUCAUUUUGUAUUUAUUAUAUUCAAAGGAUGAUGUAGUAAAAUUAUCCCUUAAGAAGUGUGCAAAGUCAAUAGUGGACAAGUAUUGUUGGACAGAGGGAGUAUUUAAAAAGAACUGAAUAAUGGGGGAGUAAUAACAUGCAUCUCAACUUGAAAGUCAAAUUGUUUGAGACAUUUACUCCAAGGUCGAAACGUGUUACCCUAUAUCUGACAGAUACAUAUUAUUCCACUGAGAGAUAGGGUUAUAUACAACGCAAUGCAUGUCAAUCCAAUUUGCUUAUUUUUUUAGAUAAUAGUGGUGUUUGAGCCAGCCUGCGCAUGCAUGUCAAUCCAAUCCUUUUGGGGGGGAUAGUAGUUGUAUCGGAGCCAACUUGUGUGCACCUCAAUUAUUCCACCAGUACCUGUCCUCCCACCAGCAUAGGUAUCGAGUAACUCUGUCAACCAAGGUUAGAAAGACAAGGGGAAAUGAACUAGGUUUAUUUGUCUUUGUUGGGAUUUGACCCCUGGUCUCCAAGGUUUUCUCCCACCUCAUUGACAGCUGGGUUGCACUCUUGGGUGCUCAUCACAUCCAGAGUUCUAAUAAAUGUUAGAAGAAGCAAAUGGGUACCUUACCAGCUUAAGUCAUCCCAAUCCAAGGAGCUAAAAAGAAAUGGAAACAUGAACUUGCCUGUUUUUAAUAGACGGAGACAGGUAACUACUCUACACUAAUUUAAGCUUCACCAAAGAUUAGGAUAGGAAGAGGGGCCAAAUGUGGCUCCAUAGAGUUGGGGCUAGUCUUGCAAAGAAAGCCAAACAGAUAAAUUAAAUUGCAAUUUCAGAGAACUUAAUCUGAAGCUCAACGAAGUGAGAAAAUAAUUUUAAGGCCAAGGAAUUGAGAAAUAAAUUUGAAGGGCAAGCGUAAAAAUGCACAACCAUCACCAGUGCAAAGCAUACUCAUAGUACUAACGUUAAUCAAGUUACUAUUAGAGGAUCUUCUCUCUUUUCCAGUCAAAGGAUAUUUAAAGACAAGAUGGUCGAGUAUACCUACAAUACACAGCUUGCUAAUAACCAGAAGACUGAUAGUGGAGCCUCUCCAGAAAAAUGAGAAAUAUACAGACAGGUCUUAGCCAAGACUCUAGUGACCAAAUAUAAGAAAGAAAGAUACAGCACCUAUGCAGCACAGCAAAUAAAAAGAACAUUCACAGUUUGGGAUUUCUCCUAUUAGUUACUUCUUCAAACAAAUGACAUUUCAUCUUAUUGGUUGAGCUAUAAAUACUAUUCAAAUCGAAAGUGCUCUCCGUUCUAUUGUCAUACACGUUUAAAUAGGACAUAUCUAGCAUACUUAGAACAAUAGACCUAAGUUGCUUGGACUCAGGUGCAGAAAUACAAUACAGGUGUGGAUCUCAAGGUCAAAUUCCCCAUCACAUAAAUUUUAGGAUUUGGGGGUAUGUAUCCGAGUGCGGAUACGGGUGUUAGGAUAUGGCCAAUAAAUGUAUAUUAUAACAUACAAGUAUAUAUCUCAAUUAAUCAAAGCUAGUGAACUAAAACUCAUAAAAAUUUGAUUCUUUAUAAGCACCUACUCCCUCCGUCCCAAUUUAUGUGGCACCGUUUGGCUUGGCACAAAGUUCAAGAAAAAAAUAAAGACUUUUGAAAUAUAUGGUCUAAAACAAACCUGAGACAUUUGUUGACUAUAAAUCAUUUCAUCAGGGUAAAAGGAAAAUUUUGAAGUUAAGUUAUUUCUAAUUAUAGAAAAGUCAUAUUCCUUUUUGGACCGACUGAAAAGGAAAGGAUUCCACAUAAAUUGGGAUAGUGGGAGUAAUAUUUUAUUCAUAAGAAUAAGAUAUAAUGGCAAAACAUGCUCAUACCAUAUAUAACUAUAUGUAUAUGACAUAAACCCAAAAUACAAACCAAAUACGCAAUUAAUCUAUACUUCUCACCCAUAGAUGUAGUCAAAGUACCCAAGGUAAGUUGACCAAAUCCUAUGUGGAUCUCACACCCACACUCACAUCCAUGUUGUGUCGAUACGGGUGAGGCAAUCAUUUUGAAGAGUUUUAGCAACAUAACAACAAAUUACUAAAGCUUCGCAGAGGAUCUUAGAACUAAGUGAAGACUAUAAUAUGGGAUGACCAACAUACCUCUUGUUAAUGACGCCAUAAUGAAACUUCGGUCUUCCAACUUUAAUAUCUUCUAUGUACUACAAUGACAUGAAAUAACAGAGAUAAAAUAAUUUAAAUUUAGAGCGAGCAAGCAAAUGAACACACAUAUAUACACAGAACAUACAUAUAUGUUCUAUAAAGUUAAAUAUUUAACCAUGUAGCAUAAAAAUUUACCAGAUUCAAGGUUACUAGCAUUGAUGAAAAUGCUAAAGAAUCAUAAGGAAUAUCAUCAAGUUCAAAAAGCUGACAUUCUGAUGAUUCUGGACCCGGUGAAAAGUGGGGAUUUUUCAGUUUCGCCAAAAAAAUCAUGUACGUCUGCAAAGAGGAGGAAAAAAUAAUUAUCAUCAAAUAUCGGACAUAAUUCAUAGUAGGUGAAUACCAUCUUCAAGAAUUUAUACUAACUUGGCCUAUAAGAGGGAUGUCCAAUUGAGCAAAAAGUGAUUGAACCUCUACUUCUGCAUUUGCCUCUUCCCAGGUUUCCCUAAUUGCUCCCUCAGCAGCAGAUUCACCAAUCUCCAUAUAGCCAGCUGGGAGCGUCCUACCAGUACAACAUUAUUUGAAGAUAAACUUUACUAUACUGGAAUUUGAAUUACUUCAGUACUCUCUAUAUUUCUGAAUGCUGGGAAUUAAUAGAGAACUUCCUUAGGAGGCUGUGAGUGAAAGUCCUCCCUUCUCACUAAACUCUGUUGGCAGACACAUACCAAAGUCCAUAUGAUGGGUGAAUUUUCCGCCUGCACAUUAAUAUCUUCUUAUCAUGCUCAAUAAGGCAACCAACAACCUGUAUUUGAGAACAAACAGUUACAAAUAUUACCCCCUUAGUAAGAAGCAGGAGAAAGCUCCGGGCUUGAUGUGUGUUGCACAAAUGAAUAAUAAUACCAACAACGGAAGAAAGAACAAUGUUAAUUCAUGUGGCUACUAUGAAAGAGUAAUUUUGGUCUUAUGACCCCAAAGUUUACAAUUAGAACAACUAUACUCCAUGAGGUUCAUAUUAGUGAACAACUAGAAUCUUCCGUGGAGGGCUGCUCUCGGAGAGCGGCUUGAGCAUCCCUCCUGGAGGUGUGCAGCUCAAAUGGAUAAAAUAACCAUAACUGUUUCCCCGUGAAAAAACGACCUGAAGUUUAGCAAGCUCCCAAACUAUUAAUCCAAAAUACAAAAUAAAACAAUACAGGGUCUGGAUAGUCUCUUUAACAUCAGAAUUACAAAGACCAAGCAAAAACUUGUGCUGCACUGCAGCAUCUUGCCAUACGUUCUAUAUUGAUUACUAGGUGCAGUUAGGUCUAUUAUCUGUUUAUAAUGAUGGUAAAGUCCAAUUUGCACGCACCUCGACUAUUCCACCAGAUACCUACUAUCUCCCACUAGUACAUACUCAGGGUUAACUGUUAUACCCUGUGCCUUUAAGUUCAAGUACGACUAGUCUAACAUCGACGAAUUGGUCCAACCACGGGAUUACAAGGUCAAGAAUGAGUAUAUAAGUUAAGGGUCAGUAUAUUAUAGUGUUGCAAGGUUACAGAUUCAUAAGAGAUUUAAUGUUUUAAGUUAAGCCAAACGCGACUACGAAUGGUUUAUCAUUUACGUGCCGCGAAAAGGUCAACUUUGAAAGAGUAUAUCUCCUAGACAAUGAGGAUUUAUGUGAUGAUCAUUAUAUCAAAUUAGAGGUGUUUGAAUCUAGUUUCCCACGAAACAAACGCUCGUCAACCUGACUUCAUUACAAAAAGUUGUGCAUGUUUUACUACGAACCAGCGCAAAUUGCAUGUGGGACACAUGGCAGCCAAAAGCCCAAAACUCUUGUUUAAUAAAUUGGGGCUUAGGGAUUUCAUUUGGCAUUUGUUCUUUCAUAUUUUGGACUGUCUCUAAAGAAAGCUUAAGUAUGAAGAAUGUCAUAAAUUGAGAACUUUGUGAGCUUGUCGCUAAUCAAAUGUUUGUCAAACUGUGUAACUGGCCGAGCUUCUUGAUUUGCUGCUUAUAUUAGUGUUAUUAUCAUCAUUCUGGUAGAUUGAAGCUGCAAAGGAGUAAUUGAUCAUGGUAAUACACUAAUGAUUGGAAUCAAGGUAUGUAAGGCCAAAACCUCCUCUUUUUUUGAAGAGGCAACCAUUUGAAUAUAUACAAGAAGACUCAACACCAAAAGGUAAUUACAAUCUUAGAUUCAUGAGAGCAAAAGUAGGGGGAGACUAUGAAUAAACAAACAAAUUAUUGCCAAUCAAAUUUAUCAAAUCACCUAUAGCCAACUGUAUAUGGGGAGUCUAGCACAUUUGCCAGCAGAAAAGAAACAGGCAGUCAAAGACAUUAACAGAUUAGCAAGCUUAGGAGUCCGACUCAUGGACUCUGAAGAUGGUGAAGUAGUUGUCCAGUAUACUACAAAGUCAUUCUUAACAGCAACAGUGAAAGAGAAAAAGUGUGAUGACCCCUUGUUACUUCAGUAUAAAGAGGGGUUCCGUCAACAUAGAGUCACGGGAUUUGAGCUCGCAAGAGAUGGCACCUUAAGGUGCCAAGAUAGAUUAUGUAUUCCCAAUAUUAUUUUUUUUGAAGGUAACUUAUGUGUUCCCAAUAUGAAGGGCUUCAAGAGAAGAUUAUGAGUGAAGCACCUUGCCCAUGGUAUUCUAUUCAUCCUGGUUCCACGAAGACAAGCCAUGACCUUAAAGAGGUCUACUAGUGGAACGACAUGAAAAGAAGCAUAGUAGAUUAUGUGGCACACUUCCAAAUCUUAGGCGGAUAGAGAAGAAAUAAUCUAGUGUUUUUCUUGUCUCAACGGGGAUUUGAACCCUGAUCUCUAAGAUUUGCACUCACCUCAAUGACCACUAUACUACACCUUUGGAUAUGAUUAGGUGUAUACAUAUUUGAAAGUGUCCCUCGUAUUGAAACCAAAAAUAAAAUAAUAAACAAAUUCAAACCAUAGACUUUAUAAUUGAACCAUGGUCACCAAAAUGAUUUGGCUGGGUGAUUAUAAACUGGUUCUAAACAAAAAUAAAUAUUCCCAGAUUUAACCAUCAAUACUGAAAUUUAACCACCAAACAUGUAGGCAAUGAAAAGACAAAGGAAAAAUAAUGUGAUCAUUACGAUUGCAAGAAGUAAUACAAUGAUUAGUUUGCAUUUGAUUUGGAAAUACAAGUGGAAAUUCAGACAGUGAAGCUUAAUGAAAAUCUUACCAUUUUUGGAUUCUCAUAGGUAAUCUUCCCACAACGAGUGCAGAUAGCUCUCACCUUUUCUUCACCAUCAGGUAUCUCAUGCUUAUUUGGGCCCCCACAAAACUGGCAGAAGUUGAUCUUGCGAAUGUUUCCCUGCAGAAUCUUUGAACCGAAAUUGAUCAAGAAAAAGAUAAAGGAACUUGAACAAUUUAUGAAACACAAAAUACUCUCAGAUCUAUUUAAAUAACAUAUAGGUAAAUUUUUAAAAAAUUGGCUGGUGUUAAAGAGUAUCUCACAUUAGUUGAGAGAGGGAUUGUUAAAACCUUACAUGAUGUUGGGCAAGUCUCACCUCAUGAACUAACUUUUGGAGUUGAGUUAUGCCCAAGUUCAUUUUCCUUCAAAUGGUAUUAGCAUCUGACUCAUUCCUAUACUUGGUUUACAUAAUGUUGGACCCCCAUGUUAUUUUAGUCAUACUUCAAAUGUCCAGCCCUCGGACGUGCAGGGUGGGGUGUUAGAGUGUCCAUGUUGAUUGAAGAAAUGAGUUUUCAUGUCCUUAUAUGAUGUUGGGAAAUCCUCACAUGUAAGCUAACCUUUUGGGUUGACAAGCUCAAGGUUCAUUAGUCCUCACAACUGGCAUGCAAAAAAUGUUUAUAGGAAGAGAAACACAAGAUGAGGCUGAAGAGAAGAGGAGAGAGAAACUCCAGCUGAAUGCCUCAGUUCAUAACAGAUCUUGGUUAUUUCAACUUGGACAGCCAAUUAUAUAUCAGAUACCUAGAAUCAUAGGCAUGCUAGCAUUUAGAAGAAUGCUAUGCGCAAUAAGAAGCCACUUCCAUUUAUUUCUGAUUGCAUAUUGCCUUCCAUUUUGGACAAGUAUGCAUGUUUUGACCACUAGGUUGAUGUUAGGAUGUGACAAGGUAUUUUUCAUCAGAUAGUAUAUUUACAUCAAAGUUUUUGCAGGACUUUUUGGGAAAAUGUAAGCUUGUUGCUUUAUAAUAUUUUCUAAUGACAUAUUGACAAUAAAAGGGAUCAGUAAAUAGAUUAAAUCACUUCCAGUCGGAAUGCUCCCAGGCACAUUACCCAAGGUAAACUUUUACAGGUCCCUCCUGGGCCCCUAAAAUCCCUUUUCCGGCGAUCUUGCAUUGCUAGAACCUCCCUCAACCCCACUCCUUUCCAACCUUUCUUUUUUUGUUACAGCCAUGGGGGACAAUACCAUUUAUUUUGCUGUAGGAUUCAAAUCUUACAAUAUUACCAUAGUAGUUUCUAGGGGAUGAAACAUGGUAAGACUAGGUAGAAUGAGGUCGUAACAUGAUGACCACGAUGAGUAUUAUCUAGAAGACGAUGGAGUGGCUAGCAUUCGCUCUUAAAGAAGCAUAGGGGAAUUUAGUCCGUAGAUGGAAGUUUCGGGACUUGUUCACAGAGUUCUUCUGCUCGAGGAAUUAUAACAAAUAUGGUCGAUACGUUAGCAUUUUAAAUAUGAAGGGUAAGAGAAGAGUUGUCAUCAUCAUCCCCGAGUAGUCGCUAAAACACAGGAUGGAUAGACAUAGCUACCAAAAUAACGAAUUCAUAAAUGCUAAGGCCCAGAAGGAAGUUAAGAUGUGGCACAGGAAAACAGAAGAGGGUCUCUUAUAUCCACACUGUCAGAAACAAUAAAUGGUCUACAAGAGAAUAAAUGCUACAAAGAUUCAACAAAAAGGGAAAUCGAUCGUUAUUACAGAUGCGACAAAAACAAAUCAAAAUGAACUACUAGCAAAAAGCAUGGUUGGAUGUCUCCCAGAGGAGAUUCCAUAUGCCUCUCUAUCAGAGAUUUGACGGUGGGUGGCAAGCACUUGGAAGCACAAGCAUGGAAUCAACAUCUACGAUUUGGGGCGCAACCGUUUCCACUUUGAGUUUCCCAACGAACCAGCUGCAGACCACAUUGUAAGAGGGAAGUGGUUCUGGAAAUCCGACAAGUUCAACCUACAAUGGUGGUCGCUGACAUCAACUUUCAUCCAUGAUAGGCCGAACCAGGUCUGGAUCAGAGUAGUAGGCUUGCCCCUCCAACUUUGGUCCCAUAAAAUUUUCCAUGAGAUAGGAAACUUAUGCGGAGGCUGGAUUAGAACUGAAGAAGAAACAGAGUUACAAAACGGCAAAACCACCUCAAUUGGGCAAGGAUGAAGGUGAGAGGAGACAGCGACUCUGUUCCGAACUCGGUCGAGCUGGUACAUGAACAUUUAACCUUCAAAGUCCCAAUCUGCGUUGUGACGCCGACAAGGUUGGUUUACGGUGCAGGCAGCAAAGAACAUCCAAAGAUCCAGAGGUCUGAUGAAGGAACUGGUGGACUAGAAGAUGAAAGCCUUUUAGGCUUUACAGAGGUGGCAGGGCACGUGGGUUCCUCCUAUGACCCUGAAAUUUUGAAUUGGCCAGCUGUCCCAGCACGUGACAAGGCAUGCGUGGCUGAGGUCCUACUUUCCACUCCAAUCAAGAGAAACAGGCCUAUGAUUAGAAGGAAAAGUUUCCUCUCAUUUAAUUGACUCAAUAUCAGUCGAACUUGAAGCCAAUAUUUCCAACUCAUGAAAAGAGUGAAGAAGAGGAAGCGACGGUAAAGAAUCAAGAAAUUUCUGAAAUCCCUCAACCUUGAGAAGAUAGUGGCAUGCAAGAAUCUGCUAUGCUGAGAAGUGAAGAAAACAAUUCCAGCUUGACAACAAUUGAAGAUGCAAUACCUUUAAACCAACAUAGCCCAGGGGGGAAGAGAAAAUCCAGACUUUGAUAUCCCUACAUGGAUACAUCAGAACAUCAUCAAAUUCUCCAAAGAGUUCGGUACAGGUAUCAAGGGGUGCAAAGAGGAAGCAACGAUACUAUUUAUAAAGAUAGAUAGCAUGAGGCAAAAGAAGUGAAUAAGGAAGAGAAGUACAUGGAAAUGACUCUGGCAGUAAAGGGAUCCCAAGAACUGAAGAGCCAUGAGUGUGGAAGCAAUGGCACAAGAAGCAGGGGGGGUUACAAUAUAACAUGUGACCAAUGACAGUCACCAUAGUAUCAUGGAAUGUGAGGGGCCUGAAUUAGGCAAGCAAGAGGUGUAUCAUAUAAAAAUUAAUACAUGGGUGGAAAGGUGAUGCUUACUACUUCCAAGAGACAAAAAUUGAAGGACAGAUUACAUGGUUGUUUGCAUCAAUGUUUUCAAAGGCUUUUUACAGCAGAGUAUAUGGCUAUCUGGACUUAGGAUGUCUAGUUUUGCUCGAAGGGAGCAGAAGAUAAAGCAGAUAUAGAUUGAAGAUUUGAUAUCCGGCUUACAUUUGGUAAUGUUUGAGCAACAAAUCAAAAUAGGCACUUGAUUAUUGUUAAAGAGUGACAAAAGUCUCACAUUGGUAGUUAAUGAGAUGGGUGGACUCCUUAUAAGGUUUGGGCAAUCUUCCUCCCUUUGAGUUAGUUUUUAGGGUGUGAGUUAGGCCUAAGACCUAAUUUAACAUGGUAUCAGAGCAGGACCAUCUCACCCAAUGUUGGGCCCCCAAAAUCAAAAUUGCCCACGCACCAGAUGCUAAGCACCGGAAGGGAGCAGAAGAUAAAGCAGAUAUAGAUUGAAGAUUUGAUAUCCGGCUUACAUUUGGUAAUGUUUGAGCAACAAAUCAAAAUAGGCACUUGAUUAUUGUUAAAGAGUGACAAAAGUCUCACAUUGGUAGUUAAUGAGAUGGGUGGACUCCUUAUAAGGCUUGAACAAUCUUAUUCCCUUUGAGCUAACUUUUGGGGUGAGUCAGGCCUAAGACCUAAUUUAACAAUUAUUAAGCAACAAUGUGGAGAAACUAUAAAGUAAACAAGAUUGAGCUAGCUAGCCAAAAAAGAGAAACCCAUCAAGUAAAAGCUGAUGGGGUGGGAUUUCCAAUCCCAGAGGGCAUCAUCAAGAUCAAAGUCUAGAUAGGUGGCUUUAUAAUUGUCCUAUGAAUUAAACUAUCUUCUUCACCCACUAACGCACCUAUGUUAUUUGUGUUAGAGGUGAAAGAGCUAAUUGAUUCAUACCUACCCAAACAAAUUAUAGUAUUUCAAGUAAUCUAAUCCCAUUCCAAAAUGCAACUCCACAUAUAAAGAACAAUCAGUCAAGCAAAAUGGGACCAGAAAUCACACAAUCAAACACUUUAGAGUCAACAAUUUCAGUAAAUCAAAAAAAUAUCAAAAGAAGUGCACAGUUGUAACAACAACAACUUACAGUUGACUGGAUUGCAACAGAUGAAGAAGAGGAUGACUUUGAAUGAGUAGAAGACAUUCGAAAAUCUCUAAAACAGGACUUGUGACUAUGUAGUUGAGAAGCCGGUAAUAACAAAGUUUCAGUUGUUGUGAGAAUGGGUUUUCUUGAAAUUAAGGAGAAGGCAGAAUUGGGUUGAGGCUUUCUGAAUCUAUAGGAAACAAACCCAGAAGAUGAACCGACAAUCUGUAUAGCUUUGAGCAUUAUUUUUUCUGGGUAACAACUCCCCACAUAGCAAAAAUUUGAAACUCAGAGAUAUUUUGGUGGGUCAAUUGUAAUUUGCCAUAGCUGGAUUUUGACUGAUGAACAUCCCCCUUCACCAUAUCCACUAGCUCAUCAAAAACAGCAUAUUGUGUUUCACUAGUUUUUAAAAUAAAAUAAAAUUGAGGAUCAAAUUACCAAAAAUGAUAACCAUUAAUGUAAUUUUUAAUAUUAAGAUUAUUUUAUAAGGAAAUUAUUUUACAUAUUUAUUAUAAAAAAAUUAAUUUAAUUUUUAUUAUUAUUAAAUUAAAUAUACAUAUUCAAAAUUUUAAUUGAUAUUAUACAUAUAUGAAUAAAAAAUAAAUUAAAUAUCGAUAUAAUAUAUUUAUGUUGAUUUAAAUACAUUCUCGUAUUUUAUCUCUAAAUGCAAAUCAUAAAAAAAAGAAGAACUUGAUCAAUCUUAAGUCCCUUACCAAACUAGUUUCCUCAAAUGACGUGGCUUGUGAUAAUGUCAUCCUAAUUCAAGGACUUAUAUCUUAUCUCAAACGGACCAAGAGUAAGGAAGGGCGUCUUAUAUUAAAAAUUUAUCUUGAGAAAGCUUUUGAUCGACUUGAAUGGUCAUUUGUGUAUCGAAUCCUUCUCCACUUUAAAUUUCCUCCUAAAGUUACUAAUUUUAUUAUGAAUUGUAUUAGCACUUCCAACAUCGUUGUCCUUGUCAAUGGAAUUCAAACUAAUAAUUUUUGUCACGCCUCAAACCUACAUCCUGGAUGUGACCGGCACUCGAGAACCAUCGAUGGUCCUUAGGCGAAUGAUUGGCCUGACUGACUACUAAGUGGAAGACUUACUCAAAUAAAAUGGGGAUCCCAAUUACCAAAAUUAACUCAUAAUGUGUCAAUAAUAACUCAACUCAAACAUGUCUGGAAAUGCUUAGUUAAACAUACACGAUUUGACUCCAAGUCUCGAAACAUCACAAAGGAAAUAGUGAAAGACUCAUCAACUACUAAUGUCUAUGAAGCCUCUAAAUACUACGAGAGAUAUCGGGACAAGACCCACGACAUGUUAACAAAACUGAAAUAUAAAUGUGGAACCCUUGGAUAGCAAGGAGGCUCACCAAAGCUAACUGGAAUGCAAAUGGUAUCAACGAAGCGCCUGUUGAUGACCCUAAACACCUGUAUUUGCAUCAUAAAAAGAUGUAGGUCGAAUGACGUCAGUACAUUGAAUGUACGAGCAUGUAAGGGGAAAACUGAAAGCAAUAGUUGAUUGGACUGACAAGGCUGGAAGAAAUACUCACUUCAACCCAACUCAAUAUGAAAGCAAUGAAAAAUUUUAAUAUGGUAGAGGCACAACCAACAAAAGGUGGGUGAGGCUCUAUUCACUUUUUGACACAUGGAUAAGUGGGUCAUUUAUCUACUUUAAAGUUAUAAUGCUACCACUAACAAGAAAGAGAAAGUAUAUUUACACAAUAAAUUGAGUUGAACAUAUAUAUAAAAAAAAUGCAAGAGAAAUUAAAACGUGGGUUUACUUCUUCUUUGUUUUAAUAUUUUGAGAUUAUAUUGAAUAUGUUACGUAGUUAUAUGUUGAUUUGACAAAUUUAUUUUGAUAUGGUUUCUUUUCUACGUAAUAUAAUUUGUAGUUUUGUUUUCAUCGCAGUUACUUUUCUACUUUUAAUUAUUUUAUUUUUUAUAAAAUAGUACUUAAAAUUUUGUGGAAUACGUUUAAUUUAUUUUAUUUUAAAAAAAUAUUUUAUUUUUUGUUAAUUUUUUAAAUAAUGAUUUAUUUAAGUUAAAGAUGGCUAGAUUUAGAGAGAAAAUCAAGAUCUGAAAAAUUAAUCUUUAUUUCUUUUCAACAUUGGUGUAACUUUUUUUCUAACAUCAACAAAAAUGUUUUUUUUUUUUUUAAAUAAAAAAUUACAGAUUCAGUUUGAACGUCAAAAUAUGUAGUUUUGAUUUACCAUCCUUUGAUUUUAUAAAAAUAUUAGGAAAGAAAAUUUAAAAUUUAAUUUUUCAACAAGUAUAAAAUGUGGAUUCACAAUCUAUUUUUUAUUUUAUUAUUAUAUAUUUAGUGAAAUGUAUUAUUUCUGAUGGGAUUGAGAUUAAUUAUAAAAUUUAUUUUACUUUUGUUAUUUUUGUUCUAGGUUUAUAAAAAUUCUUCAAACUAACAUAAACUACAAUAAUAAUAAUAUAUCCAAUGUAAUCUCAAAAUUAAUAUAAUAUGAACAAUUAAAAAAGAAGAAAAGCAGCAAAUGCACGUAUUAUUUCUCUUGCAUUUUUUUAUAUUUGUUCAACUCAAUUUAUUAUGUAAAUAUAUUUUCUCUCUCUUGUUGGUGGUAGCAUUUUUGCUUUAAAGUAGAUAAAUGACCUACUUAUCCACAUGUCAAAAAGUUAAUGGAGCCUCACACACCUUUUGUUGGUUGGGACUCUAUCAUGAUAAAUUUUUUCAAAAGCAAUCAAUAAGAGAUGCAAUAUUUAAAGUUUUUAAAAUAGUAGAUAUCAACUCAAUGAUGUAAAAAAAUACAAUAAUGUACUUUUUACUUUUAUUUGAGAGAUUCUUUAACCGACAACCAUCAUUAUGAGCUAUGUGAUGAUACAACGUCUCGCCCACGCUGCCAAAACUGUCAUAUACCUUGUCGGGGUAUAGAACACCUCAACUAAGUGGAUCCACUAAGCUAUGCUUAAAAGCAAUAAGGAAUCAUCUAAAAGUUUAAUCAUUUACCCAUGUUGGCAUACAUGGUUUAUGAGAAUUUUGAGUUGUCUGAACUCAUCCCCAUAUCAGUGCUUAAUACUACUCCCAAUAAUAUAUAACUCAUGCUCAAAUGUGUAAAACAUAACUCUUUCUGAAUUCGAGGUAAUUACUCAAAAGAUCCUCUGAAAGAGGUAAUGCUCUGAAAACAUCUUUGAACUCAUAACUCAUUUAGAAAUCGUUGUUUUUCUCUUCGAAAAUGUAAAGCAUUACAUUUAGGAAUACUUAGUUCCCCUAUACUCAUUUUGAAAAAUGAAAUACAACUCUUCUCAUUCUCAUACUCAUUUACUCAAGAUUUAGUUCAAAACUAUAGUUAAUUGCAAAAGAGUUCUCAAAAAACUUCUUGGACUUUCCUCUUAACUUUACUUUAAUUUGAAAUGUGAAUUAAGACAUGUGAUUAUGACAUGUAGGAUCUCUCAAGGAUUAAUGAAGACUUUAAGAGUUCAUACUAAGAUGAGAACGUAGACACGAUUUGAAAGAACACAUAAGGAAUGAAUGACAGAAAAGAAAAGAACCUGGUAACCUUGGCGCACUGAGUGGCGCGGGGCACCAACCACAAAACUAUUGGACAGUGUUUGGGGUGCACUGUUGGCAUGCCGCGUCAGUCCCCAAACUACUGACCAGUAGUCCUAGCACAGUGGUGGCGCGUCGUCCCACACCUGUGCCCAGAAAUCUGACGAUUUUUUCUUCAAUUUUUUGGGUCCUAAUUCAUCUAGAAUUGAGUGAUUUCUUCUAAACUCUUUUUGGUUUACAAACCCCACACAAAAUCAUCAAAAUUCCACCCAAACUUUAUCAAGAAACACCACUCAUUGUCAAUACCAUCACCUCAAGAACUCAAAACCUCCAUUGUUAAGGAAUGGGGCAAAACUCAAGAACUACUCAAGAAUCUUAUUAUAAACGAUCUCAUGGACGAAUUAAUGGAAGAAUUACAUGUUUGGAUUGAGGACGAACAAGUCCAUCACUAUGAGAAGCUUACAUACCUUGAAAGAACACUUGUUCUUGGCGAAAUUUCUCAACCCUUAAAUGAACGCUUGAAAACCCUCUUUUCCUCUUCUUGAAACCCUUCUCUCAAACUAUUCUAAAUCAUAUUAGACCCUUAUUUGGGUGAGAAAAAUGUUUUAGGCGUAGUGGGGUAAGGAAAAGAUAAAAAUACCCCUUUCUCAAACGGAUGAAAAAAUCUUAACUAGAGAGGCUUCACUCAAACAGCCAUAACUUUUUACUAGGAGCUCAAAAUUUAUCAAACUUGGUGGCAUUGAAAAGAGAAAUCAAAGACCUUCGAUUUGAUACCUCAUGGACCACCUAACUAUUUAUGUGCUAAAAAAUAUGGUGGUCUGAAGUUGACCCAAAAUUAAAAACUGAUGGAAGUUCGAGGUGAUACAAUAUCUCUCCAUUGGAAGCAUUCAUCCUCAAAUAAGAUCACACUAAGUAGAACAAGGGUGGAAAGCAUCUAACCACCCCAACUCAAGCACACAAUAUGCAAUUAACAAAACUCAGCACAUCAACUUAAAGAGUACUUUACAAAGUGUUAAUACCUUGGUUUGGAAUUUCUCCGGAAGGAAAGAGAUGUUGGUAUCUCUUCUUCACAUCUUCAUUGGCCUCUCAAGUAAAUUCCUUAAUAAAUUGAUUUCUCCAUAAGACCUUGAUUGAUGCAACCUCCUUGGUCCUCAACUUGUGAACCUAACGAUCAAGAAUCUAAACGAGAAUCUCCUCAACAAAUUGCUUUUUGUAAAGGUGUAGUAGAAGCAUCGUUUGAUCGAAGAGGUUGCCUUAGAGACAGAGUGAGGAAUGUGUGCCCGAUAUCCUCAACUUUUUUAAGCUUCAUGUACCUUCCUUUACUUUAUGUUCGAGAGGAACAUGAUUUUGAGUGGUGGAUAAUUUAAUGACCUUGAAGGUCAUUUUUGGAAAUUUAAAAGAAAUAUAGUUUUACCCCUCUUGAUUAUGGUCUGGAGUCAUGUUUGAUCUGUUUAUGAAGUCCAUUUUGAAGGUUUAUUGAAAAGUUGUGAUUUUUGAAAGUUUUAGAGUUUUGGAGUUGAAGUUUUUAAAAGUGAUUGUUAGUAACAAUUGGAGCUACGAGUUUCAGAAUGGAAUUUUGUCAAUUCCAUCAACUCUCGAUUGCGAAAUUUGGUCGAUGAGUGUUUUCGUUUUCAGUUUUGGAGUCUUUAUGUGGAAUUGAGCCUUUGAGUUGGAAGUUUAAGUGAAAUUAAGUCAAGGGUUGACUUUGGUCAACAUUCAGAGUUUGGACGCUCAAAUUGGAUUUUCGACAAUUCCAUUGGAUUCAAUUGAUGAUUUUAGGCCUAGGGAAGGUCUUGGUUUAAAUUUUAGAGCUUCCGAGGGAAGUUUGGUAUUUUUUGAGUUAAAGUUAGUUUAUUGUAACUUUCAUGGGUUUCUGAUCAAGAAGAUCUCAGAUCCAUGCUUCAAUGGUUCCAUUCAGUUCAGAAUGUCGAAUUUAGUAGGGUAACAUAUUUAAUUUUUUUGAAUGAGAUUUUGAACGAAUCUCAAGGGUCCAUUUGGAGAUUUUGUUGCGCCUUAUUAUUUGUUGAAUUGCUGAGUUUUGGUGCAUGCUAGUUUGUUCAUUGAGAUCGUGAGACUCCCUCUUGCGAUCGCAUACGAAUCAUUUGUUGUGUGUCACGAUCACAUGCAGUCAGACACAAUUGUGUAGGGUUAGACUUUCAGUCAUCGUGAUCGCGUGGGUCCUGAUUGCGAUCGCGGUGGUCAAAAUAAAUGAGUUGACUGCGUUAGCUCAUUGCGAUCGCAUGGCCUAGGGGUCGCAAUCACGAUGAACAUUCGUGACCUAAAAAAUGUGUUUUUCCAAAAUCGAGGUUAAUCUCUAUUUCACCAUUUUUUAAUCUUGUGAGCUUGGUGGAGGCGCUUUUAAAAGGUUUUUUUUCAAGAAUUUUCGAUUGGGUAACGAAUUUUAACUCCCCAUCUUUAUUACACAUUAUUUACUUCAAAAUUUUAUCAUUAAAUAGCUAAUUUUGAACUACAACUUUGUGAGUUCCUCAAGAAGUUGAGUUUUAAGGGAAAUGGUGAUAUAAGAUUGAUUUCAACUCAGUUUUCGAUGUGGUGUUCGCUGAUGAGUUCCAAAAUCAUUGGGUAACAUGAUUUUAUACAAAUUUUAAGAUUUAAUCCUAGUACUUGGGAAUGGAUUUUUGGGUCAAUUUGACCCCGAUUUUCAAAAUCAUUGAUAUGGUUGUUGUUAGUCUUGAAUUUUUAUUGUGAUUCCAUAUUUGUAUAGAUUAUGUUGAAUUGGAGACCCAUCGGAGAGGGAAAGCUCAUAUACCGGAUUGAUUAUUUUCAUUACUAAGGCAAAUGGACAUUUUGACCAUUUGUUAUGUAUAUUGAACCUUGUAUGCAAUGUGUGAUCAGAAGUAAUGAAAAUUGGUGAAGAAUUUCCUAUAAGUAGUGUAUUUUAAUUGACGUAUACGUUAUAGUCAUGAUGUUGUGGGAUAAAAGAAGAAUCUUGUUGAUAUUGUGAUAAAUGAUGUACCAUGAAUGGUUGGAAGGUUAUAUUGACUCACUCUUGAUAUUUAUGUCAAGACUGUUCGUGUUGGAUUUAUUGUUGUGAAGAAUGUUAUCAUCUCAUUGAACAUUUGAACAUAUAUAUUUGCAUUGGUGCUAUAACAUUGUUAUAAUGAUUCUUUGUGCAAAUAAUGAAAAAUAGGGGAUGGACCAUACGACUGUGGCAGAUUUAUGAGAAAUAGGGGACGGACCACAUGAUCCGUGGCAGAUUCAUGAGUAAUAAGGGUCGGGCCAAACGAUCUGAUGCAUGGAAAGAUAUGACCCUUAUGGGUCCCGGACUGUAAUACAGUAGGUGUGUAUCCUAAGAACAUGCAUGCAUCACUCUAUAUGACAUUGCACUUCAUCUUGUUUCUUGUCAUUAGUGAAUGACGAUGUGUUUUUGUGGUUAUUGAAUUGUGAAAGAUUACAAUGAUGUGGCUAUAUUUAUUGAGGUGAAAGUUGUGAUGGUCAUACGUGCUUUGUUGUUAUUGAGUGUGAACUGUUAAGUUGAACUGAUUUACUAUAUGCAUGUCGUAGUUGUGGAGGUUCAGUUAGUGUAAUUGGAGUACUUGUGUUCAGGAUUACUUUACUUAGAGUUAUUUGGGUUCAUACUUGUUGAGUGCCAUUGUUGUUUGGUACUCACCCCCUUGCUUUUACACUUGUGUAGGUUACGAGCGUGGAUCGUCUUGAUUACUCCUUCUUACCUUUGUUCGAGGCUUGUCUGAGUAGUUUGUGAGGUAGUUGUUUGUCAUUUCGGCAGACAUCACUUACUCUUUUGUUAUGUUUAUGUCAUGUUCUAGACAAAAAGACAUUUAGACUUGUAUUUUUGUUGAUUCUAAUGUAAUACUUAGAGUCUUGUACAUGUGACACAAGUCCUUGGGGUUUAUAAGUUAUGUUAUAUAUUUCCGCAAUAUUCAUGAUAUUUAGUCUUCCAUUUCCAUUUUAUUUCCGCAUUAAUUUAUUUUGUUGGGUUUUAGGCUGAUAUGUCUUGGUGGGAUAAGACAGGUGUCACCAUGCUCGGUUUCAGGUCGUGACACGUUCUAUAUUCUCGAGUUCAUUUCAUUCAUAUCUAGACAUCAUACGUGAUGUUACAAGAAUGAAUGGAAGAUUAUUAAUUUUUGUUGGUUCUAUCCCGGUAAUAUUAUUUUUCAGUUGAUCUAAUCAUUCAGCAUUUCACAAGGUAGAUGCAAAAACAAUGUUCACCAGUUAGGCUGAAGCUAAUUAACUUGUUUGAAAAAGGCGUUUUAGGGCCGUUAAGGAUGUGGUACCGUUUAGAGAAAGAAAACGGAAAUUAGCGAAGGAUAUUUUGCAAUUAGCGACAAGAAAAUUGGUUGCUAAAAUUAAUUAUAACGACUGAAAUUUCUUUUGUCGUUAAAGGAUCUUUUACAACUGGUUAUUAAAUCUGGUCCUUAACUCUUAACGACGGAGCUUUAAGCGACCGGUGACAACCAGAUUGUUUUCGUUUAUUAUCGAUUUAUAGCUACCGAAUUUAGACUUUUAACGACUGAAAUUUCCUUUUGCUAAAGAUUCUUUUUCCUGUAGUGGAUAUCAGUGGUGUAACUAAUAGUUUUAAAAAAGUAUAUUCUUAAUUAGUAUGUUGAGGUGAAUUAUUUAUGAAGUAAUCAUAUUGGAAAUGGGAUUUUUAAGAUAUACCUCAUUAUCGCUUCUAGGAAGGGUUAAUAAUCAAAACUUGUUGGGUAGGGUACACGUAUUUUCCGUACUCAUUCUAUACUUGUUGCACCUUUUUGUGUGCAGGGAUUGAGCCAGGUACUAUCAUAUUUACUUGACUUGCUGCUACGAUUGAAAUCUGUGACUGUUAGAAUUCAAGGUGAGUUACUCUUUCUUCACCACUAGAUUCUAGAGAUUCCUUUUAUUUUCUGUCUUAUUUCCCUCUCGACAGUGAUUUUAGUUCUUCAAACUUAUUUCUUAUUUGUAGAUGCUCUUAUAUUAGUGUCACCAUGUCUUGGAGUUGUUUUCAUUUUUAACUGGUCAAUUCCACAUUUAUAGAAGGUAGUUGACUAUUCUUAUGUUUUUUUCUGCAUUAUUUACAUUGUUAAUUGAUUAAUAAGGGGAUGGGGUUUGCCUAAGGCCUACGAAGAUGAUAGGUGCCUCACGGCGUCAUGAAAUUUUGGAUCGUAAAAGACACGAACUCUAAAUAUAGGAGGAAGGUUUGGGAUUGAGUUCCUGGACUCCCCACAGGUCAUUCACAUUUUACAUGGACUAGGAAACAUAAUUUCAAUUAUCGAUCUUUUACUUACUAUCUAUAUAAAGUAAUACAUCCCCACAUUGACAUGCAAGAAAUAUGUUUCUAUAGUUAAUUUUAAUCUUUUUAUCAUAAGAAUUGUAAUAAAAUAUGCCACUUCUCUUUAGUUUUAUCCUUUUGUCUUGCCAUUUUUUUCUUCCUAUUUAUACGAUGAUCAAAAUCUACGUGCAAUGCAUGUAUUAUUGUGUUGUUAUUCUUUUGGUAGAUGACUUCUAAUUUUCUUCCAUUGCACUUUCAGGUUAUCUUUACCACAAUCCUUUCUCUUAUUGUUAAUAUUUUACAAGUAAUUGUAUUAUAUUAGUAUGUGCAUAUGUAAUAGUGUGUUCGUUUUCCCUUUAGAUUAUCGUUUAGAGUGUAUUUUCAUAUAUCAAUACAAAUUAAUUUUGAUUUUUGAUAUCAAUAUCGAAAUUUAUAUACAUUUUUCAUUAAUUAACACGAUAUACAUGUGCAAAACACGUACACUUGACUAGUAUAUGUAGAGAGAGAUAGAGGGUGCUCUUAGUCUAACAUUUUCACCUUACUUACCAAACACCUGAGAAUAAAUAAAAAAAUUACUUAUUUCCAAAAAAAAAAAGACAUUUCCCAUCAUACCCAACACAUCUAAAUUGUCUACACAAUCAUAGAAAAAGUAACUCAUUAUUUUCACUAGCAAAAUGUAACUAAGGUUCAAACACUUGAGCUGAGAGGUUAAUCACUACUAUUUUAUUAAUCAGCUCUUUGAGACAUUUGAGAGUAUUGCUAGUUAAACAUGAUUAACUGAGUAACACAAACAUUAGACAGAUGAUUGAAGCCCAAUAACGCCUGCGAAAACAGGUGUAGCAGAACGAUAUUAGUGCCACAGAUAAGAAAGAUGAGGAAGACACAGAAGGAUUUCAAUUGUAGUUACAUAUACUUAGAAAUCACAAUAAAAUUGAACCUGAAAAGCAAUUGCAAUUUAGGUUCAGAUUUCAUACAAUUUAGCUUCAAAUUCAUAAUGAUCCUUAGUCAUAUCAGUAGUAAGUAGGCUUGUUCUAAGUAAAACAUUGUCCCUUAGACCUUACUUGUGCUAUUGGUGCAUUUACGUCUCUGAUAAGAUAACUUCACAACCCAAGCAGAACAAAUAUAUAUAUAUAUAUAGGGAAAAGGGCUAAAUAUACCUCGGAACUAUUCAAAUAAGUCAUCUUUACCCUCGGUUAGGUUUUUGGCUCAAAAAUACACUCCAACUAUCAAAAUAGAUCAAAAAAUCCUUCUUACUAAAGAUUUGUCCAAAACAAGGAAAAUGGGUCUAAUUUUGUCUUGAACUAUUCUAGAUAAGGAAGUUUCCCCUCCAUUUAAAGUUCAGGACAAGUGCUCUUAAUUGUAAAGACUUGAGCAAAAACUUGUAUUGGAGAUUAUUAGAUUAAUUUGACUAUUUCAAAUGACAAUUUUUAUAUAAUGCUAAUUUUAUAUUUUAUAUAAAGUCUAAUUAUGUGCAUUAACUUUUCAACUAAAUAUUUAUUCUACUCUUUCCUUUCAGAACUAAUAUACCCGCCUCAACUUAAACUUGGGAUGACUUAAAGUUAUGAUAAGUAACAAAACGCACAAAGAUACAAUUGAAUUUGAUUUCUUUUAUUAUAUCAUUCUUAGAGUUGGUAAAACAAAUUCAUUAAUGUUAAUGUAAAAAAAAAAAAAAAAAAUUAUGUAAGAAAAGGUAUGUGAUAUCAUGUUUAGAAAUAAAAAUCCUGUACCUAAUGUAUGAGGAACCGGAAGAUAAAAAAAAGCCAUGUCAUUGUUUUUAUUUGUUAAAAUGUAAAGUAUUUAUACUAAUUAUUUUUCUAUAUGUAUAAUAUAACACAUUCAACCUCCUCAUCCAAAAAAAAAAAAAGAACAAGGGAAAAACUGUCCUGUUUGGAAUGGUUCAUGGCAUAAUUGACCAUUUUUCUUCGUUCCGGAGAAAAGAAGAUCAUUUUGAGGUAUUUUUAUAGUUGGAGGACAUUUUUGAGCUAAAAGCGCAAUAAAAGAUAUUUUUGAGCCAAAAACAUAACAAAGGGUAUAUAUAUAUAUAUGUAUAAAACCAAAAUCUCAAGGGAAGAGGAAAUGCAAUUACCACAGCCAACUCUUGCACCUGCGUUUCCAGUUGUCUUACUAAGUUCAUGUCCACCUGUUCAAUAGUUAAUCAGCUCAGGACUCAUAAAGAAUGACAUACCUCAAAAUAUUUGGACUUUUUUAUGAUAUAGCCUUAUAGCCUAUAAUAACAUACAGAAAACGAACAGUAGAAUAGGUCUCAAGAAUGAUUUCACCAGAUGAAGAUAUCUCAUUGUACAAUCAGAGGUGGACCUAAGAUUUUAAAGUUAAGGGUACACCAUUAUCUUAAAUAUAAAAACCAUAUAACAAGAGUAAAAGUUUUGUUGAUUCAUUUGAUUUUGAGUUAAUACUUUUAGCCAUAUACCGUCUUUCAACUGACGUUUUCAAACCAUGCUUCGCAAUCAAGCUAGAAAAAGACCGAGAUUCAGUAGUGGGCGAACUGAUUGCUGAGCAUACCAGUUGACACUAUUAGAUACAACCCAAGUUGACUCUUUGCAUCAAUUACCCAAUUUCGUUUUUUUCUAACAUAUACUUCUAGUAAUGAGUUAUACAUCUCAAUAUCCAUAAUUUGUGAAAACUAUCAAAAUUUCUCUUGAUCUUACAAAAUAACACAAGUAUAGUUCAUAACAACGUAUCAGAAUAUCCUACAUAUCUUUGUUAGUUUUUAUAAAUAAAUGCUUGCAAUUACAUAUAACUACAAUCUUUCAAACACACAUAAUUUUAUAAAGAUUUACUCGUCCAAUAAAUCAACAAUAGUAGAAACUAACUAUUCUUUAUUAUAUAUAAUCCACUCACAUGAUACUGACUCUUCACGUUGAGCUAGGUUGAAUAAUUAUUUUUGCAAUAAACGAUGAAUCUUUCUUUGCAACGUAUAAACUUAUUGGUUAAGUUUUACAAUUUUUUUAAAAAAAUAAAGUUAGAAUUUGAAAUCCUACUUUUUGGAGAAUUUGAUAUUUUAAAUCAUAAUUUGACAUUGAAGUUGAAAUUUUAUUCACAUUUCAUAAAUAGGCGUUGAUUUCAAAUUUGAACCCCAAAAAUCCUAUGACCAAUGUUGUCUACUUUGUAAAAAGCAAGAAACACUUGAGAGGUGUAUAAGAUGAAAGCUAUGAUCAAAUCAUCAAAUGGCUAUAUCUGAGAUAAUUACAAAAAGGAAAAAAAAUCCUUUCUUUUGGUGAUUAUAAACUGGAUCUCUCAGUAUUACUGAAAGCUAAUUUUAACUUUGUAUGGUUUCAUUAUUGUGGCUUAAUACAAACAUUAGUUAUAAAUUAGCAUGUCAUCACAACUUGAGAGUCGUAAAAGAAUCAAGCAAAUACAAUUGCCCAUUAACUCGAAGCUAGCAAAGAAGAAAGAAAAAGAAUAUGGCAUCCUUAUCUUUCUCAAAAAAAGAAUAUGGCAUCCUUAAAGACAGUAUGAGAGUAUGACUAUCUCAGCCAAACAAGACACCCUCAUGCAUUAUGUUUUUCUCUUCAAAUAUUUGGCUCACUUAAGAGACAUGAAAUGCACAAUUUCUGUCAACAGUCUAAAAGACAUGGUCAGGAUUAAUGGUCACACAUCAAAGCAACAGCACAUACUGAUCAUAAUCAGAGCACAAAAAAGGGGGCAAGUUGAAAGGGAAGUGAUAUUGAACAUUGCUCAAAAUAAGUUAAGAGUGACCAAAAAAGCAUGCAUACCUCUUCCCAGAUCAUCGGGAUCAGCAUGCACAACUACUGCUCUCCCCAAGAUGGAGUGUACUCCACUAAGAGGAAUCUAUAUGUACGAGCAAAAAUUAAUAUUGUCACACACCAAUCAAAUAGCAUAACAAAGAAGUAGACUGUACUGUACUGUACCUGCAUAUCUGAAAUUGAUAUCUCCGCCACCCCUUGAUUACAGAAAUAAUCAUAAAUUAAAGGGAACAAUCAAUCCAAUUACUGAAGUUUAAAAAAUAUGAAUUAUAAAAGUAAUAAAACUAACCAUCAGGACCAGCAACAAUGUUGCCUAAAUCACCCGCAUGACGUACUUCAUCCAUGGGAGCUCCAUGAUCUUUCUUAAGUGGAUUAAAAUGAGGUCCUAAAAGUCAAUCAGUUACACUGUUAGGGGCAAGUAUAACCAAGGACCUGCAUUUGAUUAUCAUAGAAGGAUCCUUAGCUACCUAGAUUAGUAAUUAGUCUAAUUCAAUCUCCUUGUUGCUUAUCAUGUACAAGGUAAUUAGCUGUUUGUAACAAACAAGAGUGUAACAGUAACCAAACUCUCAUGCCAAUUUGUAUCGAUUGAAACUGACUCAAUUACAAUAGCUAGUAAUCAAACUGAUAGUUGAAUGACAGAAUUACUAGAACAUAGAAGGGGAUAGACAUAAUACAUAAAAAUGACCCUUAACUUGGCUUUAGCAGAUAACAAUGCCCUCCAACUUUGAGUGUGCACAAGUGGACACUUAAACUUGUAUAAAAUUGAACAAGUAAACACACAUGUUUUACAUGACAUAAUACACAUAAGACUCCACGUAGAACACAACAUUGCCAUGUAGGGUGUCAUGUAGGAUAAAUGCCUCUAUUUGUUCAAUUUUAUACAAGUUUAAGUGUCUAUUUGUGCACACCCAAAAUUAAAGGUCAUAGUUGUCCGCUGACACCAAAUUAUAAUAGACUUUAAAACUAUUUUGCUCUCACAGAAACAACUUGUUAAAUUAGGUCUUAGGCCUAACUCACACCCCAAAAGCUAGCUCAAAGGGAGGAGGAUUGCCCAAGCGUUAUAAGGAGUCCACCCAUCUCAUUAACCACCGAUGUGGGACUUUUGUCAUUCUUUAACACAACUCUCCUAUUCUAAUAGUGAAAUAUAUUUUAGAUUGAUCAGAAACUCUUUGACACAUGCAUGUGAGGUUCAAACCCACAACUCUAGCUUAGAAAGCAUUUCCACUCCCUUCCUUCACACUAAGCUGUCAAUCAGUUUUGUUAGCGAUUGACAAGUUAAUAUACAUAUAUAUUUAUUUAAUUUUCUAAUACAAAUAAUAGUAUCUAUGCAAAAAGUUACUGGAUUCAUCCAAACCAGCAAACCCCCACAUAUCUCCACCCCUAAUCCCAAAAAACAAGAAUUUGAAGAAAGGGAAGGAACCAGUGGAAUUGCAGCCGUUAGUGGUAUCACCCAAGGCAUGAAUAUGGAAAGCGUGGAGACCUGGAGCUAGACCAAUUAUUCGUCCUCUCACAUGGGUACCACCUGUAUGAGUUGUAUACCCAAAUUAAUAACAAGACGAUCGAGGAGUAGAAAACACAAUAACAGUUAGAAAAGUACCGUUGGAUUGCUGGAUGAAUUGUAAGGACCCUUUCACACUAUCGUUCCCGGAGAUGACAGCCACUGCUUUCAAAUUCCCCAUUGAUUUUUUCCCUACAUCUUUCUCCAUUAUUAAGGGUCACCAUUAUGUCUCUAUCCUUCUUCUACCAGUGCUCUGUCACAAUUCUGCCUUAUAUGUCCAUUUUGGUCCCUUAAAUAGGAUUCUGGGCAAUUUUAGUCCCUUAAAUUUUUAAAAGUGGAACAUUUUUUUAUUCAACUCAAAAAAUAAAAGGAAAAGAGUUUUGACAUAUCACUCAACUUUGUUAUUUAAAACUCAUAUAUUGUUGAUAUGAAAGUGGUUUAUAUAUAUUUUUACCAAUAUAUAAGUGACUCACAUAUCAUUACAUAAAAAAAAAAAGGAGAUCACAUAUGACGGAAGUGAAAAAAUUAGUUUUAAAUUUAUAUUUUUGACUUUUGAUUUUAAAAAAAUCAUGUAAGGGUAUAUAUGACCCUUCUAGAAAAAUUCAAAGUAUAUUUUAAUAUUUUUUAUAUAUAAAUUAUUUUUUGACUUCUUUGUUUAUCAUUAUUUGAGUUUCUUAUUCUCAUUUUUGUUUCUUUCAUUCUUUAUAGUUUAAAGAAAGAAAAAAAAUUUAAACUAAUUUUUUUGUGGCUAUAUUAAAAUUUAAACUAUUUUUUCGGCUAUAUUACAAUUUAAUUUUUAUAUUUGUAAAAAAUAAUUGGGGCAUCUAUAAUAAAUUUUACAAGAAAAUUAGUAAAACAUAAAUAAAUUUGAUCAUCAAAAUAAUAAAUUAAAAUUAGUUGUUGAAACAUAAAGUAAAAAAAGAAAUAUGUGAGGAGGAUCAAAUAUACCCCAUAUGAAUUAUAUAUUUUUUAGAAAAAAUAAGAACUUAAAUUAAAAUCAAUUUUUUCACUUCCGUUAGAGGAAAAUGAUAUAUGUGAGUCAUUUGUAUAACAAUAAGGGUAUAUAUGGGUCACUUUUAUAACGAUGGGUAUAUCAGCUCUAAAUAGCAAAGUUGACGAGUAUAUCAAACUCUUUUCCCUAAAAUAAAUUGAAAAACCCAUGCUACUAUCAAAAUUAAAAUUUAGAUUGCACACUAUAAGGUUCAUUUAGGGUUGAUGCUCCCAACAAUAUUUUCUUCAUAUCCAAAGCUCAAAGGAAUUAAAAUAGACCUAUUAUCAUAAAUAUGGAACAACUAUGACGAAACACACAUUCUCUCUUGUUUUACUUUGGAAACCCAAAAUUCAUGGACAAAACUUUGGGGACACUUACUCUCUCUAAUUUAGUGUUAUUGCACGUGUGAAUCACAUUAAUUAAUAAAAAAUAUUACAGUAAAAAGAUUAUUAAAAUAGUAGUUAGCGUUAAAAUAUCAAAGACAUUUGUGUUAGCACUACAAAAAGAAAGCCUACAUAGCGGGCGCUUAUUUUACAUACUACGGGAAAAGAAAUCCCCCGCAAUUUGUUGUCACAGAGGUUUCAGAAACUCUCUUAGUUUGGUCUGCCACAAUUAAAUUUGUGGGGAUUUUUCACGAACCGUUAUAACAAGUAGCAUAGGUUAUUUUGCGGCGGUUUGACCCGCAAAUUAAUUCUUAGAAAACGGUUAUAACCUCUGAUAUGAAAUUUUAAUCAUAAAAAUUAAUGGAGGUUGAAACCCUCACAAUUCGUAAAAACAUAAUUAUCUUCUUAUAUUUUUGUCAUCAGUGAAACGAUGCUCUUUUAUUGUGGUCUAAAACUAAUUAGUCUAAUUAUAGUUUAAAUAGAAAUAAAUUUACAAAAAAAAAAGGUGUGCAAGCACGCAACUAAGACAAGUAAUGGUAUUGAUGUCAUCAUACAAAAAAUUAAGCGAGAAUCUUCACAUUGAUAAUAUAAAAUUGUUUGCAUAUCAUUUGGCUGGGAGAGCAUAAUUAUGUCAUAUAGAUGUAUUCAACUUCAACACAAGUACAUCGAUGUUAUUCUUACUCCCCGGUAAAUUGUUAAACACAUCAUUCACGUUAGUCACUAUCACAUUCAGUUCAAUCAUGCAAUUACAUUAUCAAAACUAAUUAUCUAAUACGAUCACAAAACACUUUUACGAUUGCCACUGCAACAACUAUAAUUGGAUGAUCUUUGCGUCCAUUAAGAAAAAUGAUUCACUACCUGCAUCACUUGGCUGCAAAAAAUAAAUAAAUACACAAUGAGAUCUUUUGAAUGAUAACUUAACUGCAAAAGGAACAUUCUAAUUUCAAGUACUCAAAAUCUGAAUUGUAAUAUUUUUAUUGUAGCUAUUCGGAUAAUACUUCAUUGGCUAAGAAAUUGUUUUAGCCAAGUAAAAUUACUUUGUGAAAUUGAAUUUUGUAAGCAAACUAUAUUAUGAUAUGCUUCAAUUCAAAGCACCAAUCAAUCCGGUGACAGAGCUAAAAAAAAAAAGAACAACAAAAUAACAUCAUAAAUAACACCAGUUAAAGGUGCUUUAGAAUCUUGAUGAGUCACGAGGCCUACAAUCACUUUGACAUAUGAUGUCCCUUUGCUAAAUAUGCUCUAAAUAUUACAGAUUUUGAUAUGUCAAAUGAAACAAUACAAAGCCUCACAUAUUACUACAAAAUAACAAUAUUUUUUUUUACAUUUGAUCAAACAGUUGCCACAUAUUGAACAAUAAGAUGCAGAAAGCAAUUUGAAUGAACAAAUAGUGUGCUUGCCUCUUGCCUGUCCAGACGUUGAUGAUGCAUCAAAGACCUAGGAGAUGUAGAUGAUUGAAUAUAAAAAAUAAGAACAUUUAUUAGACACAAUUUAAAAUGAAAAGUCGUAAAAUCAAUAAAUAUGAUUGCCUCGAUUUUUCUCUAUUUUGCUAGGAUUUCUUCACAUGUCCUAGGGGUGGUAAUUUCAACCCAUAUAAGUGAGAUGAGUCUAUUUAAUCCAUAUAUACUUAAAUGGAUCACUCGUAUUUUCUAAAUGGAGAAAUAUGAGCUGACUUAUUUUAAAAGAUCAUACAAAUAUAAACAAAAUAUGAGUAUCAACAUAGACCCAUAGAUCACUCCCUUGUAAUAAAAAUCCUUAAUUGGACUAAAAUAAUAUUUUUUUUAAAAAUAAAUAAAUUAGGGGGUCGGGGUGGAGGUGAGGAAAAGGGGGGAAGAGAAAGUUAAACUUUUUUUAAAAAUUUUUUGGGGGGGUGGGAUGAGGGUGGGGGNNNNNNNNNNNNNNNNNNNNNNNNNNNNNNGGGGGGGAGGGGGAAGGGGGUGGGGGGUGGGUGAGGGGGGAGGGCAAGAAAAAAAUAAGUUUUUUUUUAAAACUUUUUGAUUUAAAAAUAAAAUAAAAUUGGGGUUGGGUGUGGGUAGGGUGAAUGACUUGGUGGGGGGGGGGGACAAAUAUUUUUAAAACUUUCUUUUUCUAAAACUUUAUUUAUAAAACAUUUUAAAAAAUAGGAAGUAGGUGUGGGUAGGGGGUCUGAGGGUUGAAAAAUUUAUCAGUUUUAUUAAAAAAUAUUUUAAGUGUCUAAAAAUGCUGGUUGCUACCUCGCUAACUCUCCAUAACAAGCCUCAGAAGUAGAAGGAAGAAGAAGUAAUCACGAUGAUCCGAGCUAGUAACCUAUACAAGUAUAGAAGCAAGAGAAUGAAUACCAAACAACAUGGUACUCAGCAAGCAAAUCACUAAACUCAAAGUAAAGCAAUAUAGAAUAUCGGUACUCCUAAGACACAAACUGAACCUCCACAACUAGCACUGCACAAAAACAAUCCAACCUAGAAGUUCGCAUUUCACAGAGCAAAUAUCAUAAAUAACAACACUUCAAUGUACACAGAUUACCUCUAGCACCCCAAAAAUUUCUAAUCUAAGACUCGAACCAUUCUUCAUUUAUGUAUAAGAUCGUAUCAAGUGAUUUUAAAAUUGUGCAUAAGUGUUAAGGUCAAUUAUUUAGUGUAGAAAUAUAUUUGGACAUGAAUUAAGGUCACAAGAAUUACCUAGCACAAAGUUGAGUUGAAAGCUUUCAUACCGAUUAAGUUUCGAUAUAAGAUUCUACUUAUACCAAUUUCAAACGAUCAUAUCUCUCAUCACAUAAUUAAUUAGGUGGUCCACAAAUGAGUCUUCUUUUCAACGCCACCAAUUUUGCCUCAUUUUGGGUUUGGUGUAAAACGUUAUGAUCAUUUUACCAAAGACUACCACAAGAGAGUUUUCUGAGUAAGUGACCUACGAAUCACUUCUACAAAUCGUAGAAAGAGCUACGAACCGUAUUUUUUGACUUAUGAAAAAUGUAGUGAAAGUCAAAUUUUUGGGUCCAAUUCCUACGGACUCAUCUACAGGACGUAGUUUGGGCCCGUAGAAUGAAAUUUUUAUCCUUAAAACUUCAAUAUGAAUUUCACGGAUGGAAUCUAUGGUCCUAGAUCAAACCACUAACCGUAGAUGGCCCCGUGAAAGUUUUUUAACAACUUUUUAAGUAGGGUUUCUUUAAUAUUUUUCCACUUUUCCUAAACCCAAGCCAUGACGAUUUAACUUCAAUUAGGAAAAUAUAUUCCACCAAGUACUCAAUUUUAUUUUAAUUCUACGCUCUCAACUCCCCAACUCAAAAAGAAGACUAUAAGGAAGACACAAGCUAGGGUUUAAAGGCUUCCAAUCAAGUUCUUCUUCAAACUUCUUCAAGAACUUUAUUCUUCCAGGUAUGUAAGACUUCAAGGAGAGUAUUCAUUUCGCUCUCAUACCUAAAGUAUUUUGAUUAUAUGAUGAAUUAUGUUUAAACCUAAGAUUUUACCCAAUCUUCUUCAAGCUGUGAUUUUUAUGCAAAAGUUGGAAUUUUUAUGAAAGAUUUCUCAAACAUAUAAUGAACUACUAUGAACAACAUGUUUUGUUAUAUGAUUAUGAUUCUCCAAGUAUGUGUCAAGAUUAUUUAUAAAGUUAUUAAAACUACUUUUGAGUAUUUCUAGGUUAUGCAUGAUUUCAAGUAAGUUAUCUCAUGUUUAAAGUGAUAUGCAUAGAAGUAAAGAUAUGUUUAUGAAAGAGAUGUUUGAGAACUGCCUCACAACACUAUAAUUCAUGAUCAAUCUGACAGUCAGGUAUGCCAUCAAUGGUUAUGUAACACCUCGUAUCCUAAACAGACUAAACCAACAGAUUUUCCAAAAGUUGCAGGUGCAACCCAAAGUUGCCACCCACGGACCGUGGUGGUGAUCUGUGGUUCACCACCUGCAACCCCUCCCAGAAAAGGUCCAGAAAUUAUUCUAAGCCAUGACCCACGGCUGGACCCACGGAUCGUAGGUUAGAACACGGACCAUGGUCCAAGUCCAUGGAUCGAGGCCCUAGCUUUCAGUCCCAGAAACCCCCCAGAAAAUUAUUCUAAGUCCAGACCUAUGCCAGGACCUACAAACCGUAGGUCAGACCACGGUCCGUGGUCCAGGGCCGUAGGUCGGACCCCAGAUUUCUAAUCCCAGAACCCCGUUGAUAGUUCACCAGCACGGACCGCUGGUCCAUCCACGGUCCGUCAGUCAAUUCCAUCGGUGGCCCCGAUAACUUUUAAGUCAGGGAUCAUUUGGUCUUUUCCUCAUGCGUUGGACCUCUAAACUACGUCGUUUAACCCCUAAACUACGUCGUUUUUGGCAAUUUUAGCCUAGUAAACUAAUUAGAACUUACCUUAAUCAAUCAUUCACCAAAAUCAAGCGAAACUUAGAGCAAAAUAGAGGAGAAAGUCGAGCAGCCCUAGUUCAAGAACGCAGUGAGUUUUUAUCAGUUCCAUCCCCGAAAUAGAAAGAUUUCUCUGUGGAAUUCGUCACCAGGUACGUGGGAUUUCACUAGUGGGUUCCUUUCACCCAUUAGGUCCCUAGAAUUCCCUUCAUAUUACCUAGACGUAGGGUUUUUAGAAUUUCAGCAGGUUAUUAUGAAUUAGUUACUUUAAUGUUCCUAAUCAGAUUAUCAUGAUUUUAGUAAUGUUUUGCGUAGAUUCUUUCAUAAAUUCAAAACCCUAGCUAUGUAGUUCUUUUAGUUCAUGAAUUACACAUGCUAGGUCAGUAAUCUCAGUUAUACAUGCCUCAGAUUUGAAUUUUUCAUUAUUAGCACAUUAAUGUUGCAUUUUCAGUUAGCAUGUUAGUAUUUUGAGCUAUCCACUGUUACAGAAAUUUAGUCAUAAAUUGUUAAUUACAUAAUCAAUUUGGAAUAGCUUAAUACCGAGUGGACUAGGUCCAGUCACCCUCAAGUCCCAGAACUACGUGCCCCCGUAGGUUUAUAAGUCCCUAAUGUGGGCAUUACAUUUUAGUGAUCACGCCAGUCAUGCCUCUAUACCUCUGGCAGGGUAUAUUGGGUCCUCUCGAUGGGGCGUAUACAUCAGACUCCACAUUUAGCUCAUGUGGUUUUAUGUCGGUUAUUAGUAGCUCUCUUACAGUCAGAUUCUAUUGCAUUGACCAUGUUAUCAUCUCCAGUCAGGUUUCAGUUUCAACAUGUUAUAAACUUAGUCAUUGCAUUCAGUCAUUUCAUGUUCAGUAUUCUCUGUUUAGUAUCAUGCUUAUCUCUUAUCAUUGCUCAUAUAUAUAUAUAUAUAUAUAUAUAUGCUUGUUCAGUUAUGAUUCUAUUCAGUUUUAUACUAUCAUGCAUGCGCGAUACCUUUCAAGUACUGACACAUACUUUGCGCUACGAGUGUAGGUUCAGGUCCUUAGCUUCCAGAUCACGCAUGAUCGUUUCUCAAUUUUCAGCUCAGUAGUAUCAGUUGUGACUUCUCAUUCUCAGAGGAUGACAUACAUGUUUCUUUUGCUUUUAGUCUUUAGUUUCAAUCUUUACUAGAUUUAGCUGGGGCAUAUCCCAACACUUCUAGUCAGUUAGAGGCUUACUUUAGACAUAGUUAGUUUCAGCUUUAGUAUCUGAGUUUGACUUUUCAGUUGUUGUUAAACUCUCAGUUUUCAUAUAUUCAAACAGUGUAUGGGUAUUCCCCAUCAUUUCAGUUUAUCUUAUUAUUUAGCUUCCACACAGUCUUUUCUUACUUCAGUUUAUUUAGUAUGCUUAUGAUAUGCCAACAGGGUUAGCUUGGGGUCACUCGUGAACCUAGGUCCCGUGAUCGCGUCCUGGGGUAGCUUUGGGGCGUGACAAACUUGGUAUCAGAGCACUAGGUUUAAGAGUCCUACGAUGUCUGAAAAGCCGCACUAAGUAGAGUCUUUUUCAUGGGUGUGAAGUGCACCACAUCUAAUGAGAAGGAGGCAUCAAAGUGUUUUACGAAAAAAAUCAUUUUCUUGUUACUCUUAUCGUGCGUAAGGUAUGAUUUAAUUCCUUAUUUCUAACUCGACGUUAUGCGCUUUAAGAUCAUGCCUCCUCAUAGAACUUACAGAAGGAAUGCGAAUGCCCGCAACGCUAACACAGCUCCUCCAGUCCUAGAUCAGGAAGUUUCGAAUGCAGAGUUUCAAAAUGCUAUUCAACUUUUGGCUUAGAGUUCCUGCAAAUGCUAGUGGUGGAUUAGUGGCAGCCAGAGUUUGAGAUUUUGUGAGGAUGAAUUCACCUGAAUUCUUAGGAUCGCAAAUUUAUGAGGAUUCCCAAAACUUGAUAGAUGAGGUCAAUAAGAUCUUUGGAGUGAUGCAUGUAACUGGAAUGAUAUGGUUGAGUUGGCGUCCUACCAGCUUAAUGAUGUAGCUCACAUCUGGUAUACUUAAUGGAAAGAGAACAGGGGUACGGAUGCAGCUCCUAUGCUCCUAUCACUUGGGAAUGCUUUAGUGAGAGUUUUUUGGACAGGUUCUUCACAAGAGAGUUGAGGGAGGCAAAAGCUCAGGAAUUCAUGAAUUUAAGGCUAGGUAACAUGACAGUCCAAGAGUAUGGACUCAAAUUCACCCAACUCUCCAGAUAUGCUCCUUACAUGGUUGCCAAUUUCAGGGCUCAAAUGAACAAGUUUAUGUAUGGGGUAUCCAAUUUAAUUUGGUGAAAACAAAAUGUAGAAAUGCUAUGUUUUUGGAAAAUAUGAACAUCUUUAGGCUCAUGACUCAUGCUCAGCAGGUUGAGGGAGAUAAGCUUAGGGAGCAGGCUAAGGAGAAUAAGAAGGCUAGGACAGGAAACUAUGUGUAUUCUCAACAGAAAUCAGGUGGUGGAAAUCGCUCACAGUUUAAGCAAAAGUCUUGAGCUCCAACACCUCCAUCUGCUAGUGUUCCAUCCUCCAAGUUUCGGCAAUAUCAGAAAGGUAGGGCAUCAGGCUCUAAGUCUCAAGGAAGUAUUUCAGGCACCAGAACAUACCUAAUUUGUCCAAAGUGUGGUAAGAACCACCCGGGCAAGUGUCUUGCAGGAAAGGAAGGAUGCUUUGGGUGUGGUCAGUCUGGUCACAGGUUGAGAGAUUGUCUUUCUGCUAAACAGGGUCAAGGAGGUAAUAAUGGUAGGGCUCAGUCUACAACUUCAGCAGCACCAGCAGGUCGCCCGACUUAGCGGGGUAACUCAUCUAGUAAAUGGUGCGGACUGCACCAAAACAAGUUGUUUGCUCUUCAGGCUCGCCAGGAUCAGGAAGAUUCUCCUGAUGUAGUCAUUGGUACGUUAUGGGUCUUUAACUUAGAUGUUUAUGCUUUGUUAUAUCCAAGGGCUACUCUUUCCUUUGUAACUACCUAUAUAGUAGUAAACUUCAAUGUCAGUCGAGAAACUCUCUCAGAACCCUUAUCAGUCUCUACUCUAGUCGGUGACCCAGUUAUAGCUAGCCGGGUAUACAAAAAUUGCCCUAUCACAAUCUCCUAGAAAGUCACCUCAGCAGAUCUUGUAGAGUUAGAAAUGGUAGACUUUGAUAUCAUUCUAGGUAUGGAUCCUGUUAUGCCUCAAUCGAUUGUAGAACUAGGAUCAUUUGGACUAACUAAUGCUCCUACAACUUUCAUGGAUUUGGUAAACAAAGUGUUCAAACAAUAUUUGGACUUGUUUGUUAUCGUCUUUAUUGAUGAUAUCCUCAUUUACACUAGGAAUGAGGAAGAACGUGUGACUUAUUUGAGGGUUGUCCUGCAAACUCUCAAAGACCGCUAGUUAUUCGCUAAGUUUAGCAAGUGUGAAUUUUGGUUGCAGUCUGUUGCUUUUCUUAGGCAUAUUGUGUCUAGCAAAUGGAUCUGAGUGGAUUCUCAGAAAAUAAAAGCAUUGAAACAAUGACCCAUACCUACCUCUCCUACAAAUAUUAGAAGUUUCUUGGGUUUGGCAGGUUAUUACAGAAGGUUCGUGGAAGGAUGGUCAUCAAUAGCUACUCCAUUGACUAAGUUAACUUAGAAAAAGGUCAAGUUUCAGUGGUCAUAUGAUUGUGAGAAAAGCUUCACAGAACUGAAAACUAGGUUGACUACAACUCUUGUUUUGACUCUACCAAAGGGUUCAGACGGUUAUGUGAUAUAUUGUGAUGCAUCCAGAGUCGGCCUAGGUUGUGUAUUGAUGCAGCGAGGUAAGGUUAUAGCUUAUGCUUCUAGACAACUUAAGGUGCAUGAGAAGAAUUAUCCGACUCAUGACCUCGAGCUUGCAGCAGUGGUGUUUUCACUUAAGAUUUGGAGAUAUUACUUGUAUUGUGUUCACGUAGAUGUGUUCACAGACCAUAAGAGCCUCUAGUAUGUGUUCACCCAGAAAGAGUUGAAUCUUCGUCGGAGGAGAUGGCUGGAGUUCCUCAAGGAUUAUGAUAUAAGUGUGCAUUACCAUCCUGGUAAGGCAAUGUAGUAGCAGAUGCCCUUAGCAGACUAUUUAUGGGUAGUGUAACACAUGUUGAGGAAGAGAGAAAAGAACCAGCAAAGGAUGCUCACAUGCUUCUUGCUUUGGGGUUCGCCUUAUGAGCAUACCAGAUGAUGGUGUAAUAGUUCAGAAUGGGUCAAAAUCUUCAUUGGUAGCGGAGGUUAAAGAGAAGCAAGACAGUGACCUGAUAUAGCUUUAACUAAAGGGUGCAGUUCAGCAGCAGAGAGUUGAGGUUUUCUCCCAAAGGAGAGAUGGUGUGCUUCGCUAUCAGGGUCAAUUAUGUAUUUCUAAGGUGGGUGAGUUGAGAUAAUAGAUUCUUGUAGAAGCCCAUAAAUCCAUGUAUUCUAUUCAUCCAGGCACCACUAAGAUGUACCGUGAUCUACGAGAAGUCUUUUGGUGCAAUGGUAAAAAAGGGAUAUAACAGAUUUUGUGGCUAAGUGCCCUAAUUGUCAACAAGUCAAGGUAGAACAUCAGAGAAACCAGGAAGUAUGACUCAAGAUAUUAACAUUCCUACUUGGAAUUGGGAAGUGAUCAACAUGGACUUCAUUACAGGUUUACCUCGUGCUCACAGACAUCAUGACUCCAUUUGGGUGAUAGUUGACAGGUUACUAAGUCUGCACGCUUUUUGGCUGUUAAAACUACAAAUUCGGUGGAGGACUACACCAAGCUUUACAUUAAUGAGAUAGUCAGGUUGCAUGGGGUUCCUUUGUCUAUCAUUUCAGAUAGAGGUCCUCAAUUUACCUCUCAUUUCUGGAAUUCAUUUAAGAAAGGUCUUGGUACUCAGGUUAAUCUUAGCAUAACAUUUCAUCCACAUGCGGAUGGUCAGGCAGAGCGUACCAUUCAGACUUUAGAGAACAUAUUGAGAGCUUGCGUGAUGGAUUUCAAGGGUAGUUGAGAUGAUCACCUUUCUCUUAUAGAGUUCGCCUACGACAAUAGCUACCAUUCCAGUAUUCAGAUGGACCCUUAUGAGACAUUGUAUGGGUGUAGAUGUAGAUCUCCAGUUGGUUGGUUUGAGGUAAGUGAAGCAACCUUGAUAGGGCCAGAUUCGGUUCAUGAUUCCAUGGAAAAAGUUCAGCUCAUUAGAGAUAGACUUAAGACAACCCAGAAUCGCUAGAAAUCUUAUGAAGAUGUAAGGAGAAGGGACUUAGAGUUCCAAAUUUAUGAUUGGUUUUUCUGAAAGUGUCACCUAUGAAGGGGGUGAUGAGAUUUGGCAAGAAAGGGAAGCUCAAUCCUAGAUAUGUAACCCCUUACUAGAUCUUGGAAAGUGGCUUAUGAGUUAGAGUUACCAGCAGAACUAGCAUGAGUGCAUCCGGUUUUUCACGUUUCGUUGUUGAAAAAGUGUGUGGGUGAUCCAGCAUCUAUUGUACCUUUAGAAAGUGUGGCAUUGAAGGAUAGUCUCACUUAUGAGGAUGUACCAGUUGAAAUACUUGAUCGUCAGGUUCAAAGGUUGAAUAAACAACGAAGUCGCUUCAGUUAAGGUUUUGUGGAGGAGUCAGUCCGUAGAGGGAGUUACUUGGGAAGCAGAAGCAGCCAUGAAGACCAAGUAUCCUCAUCUCUUUCCUUACGAAUCCAUUCCAGCUUAAGGUAAUAGUUCCUCUCCAGUUUUUCAGUCAUUCAUGCGUAGCUUCAGUCUUAGUAUCUUGUUUCUUCAGUUUAUACUUGCAUUUUCAGCGUACUACAUGUUCUUGGAACAUAGUUCAGUCAGAAAUCAGUUUCCAGUGUUUAGUGGUAGGGUUUGCAGCUCUUUCCCUCCAUCUCCAACUAGUUUAGUCUUCAUUCAAGGAUGAAUAUUCCCAAGGGGGAGAUAAUGUAACACCCCGAAUCCUAAACAGACCAAACUAGCAUAUUUUUCAGAAGUUGCACGUGCAACUCAUGGACCGUAGGGUGACCCACGGUCCGACCUAGUGAUCCGUGGUUCACCACCCGCAACCCCUCCUAGAAAAGGUCUAGAAAUUAUUCUAAGGCACGACCCACGACCCGUAGGUCAAACCACGGACCGUGGUCCAGGUUCGUAGAUCGAGGUCUCAGCUUUCAGCCCUAGAACCCCCCUAGAAAAUUAUUCUAAGUCCAGACCUACGCCAGGAACUACGGACCGUAGGUCAGACCACGGUCCGUGGUCCAGGGCCGUAGGUCGGACCCUAGAUUUCUAGUCCCAGAACCCCAUUGACGGUUGACCAGCACAGACCAUUAGUCCAUCCACGGUCAGUUCUGUCGGUGGCCCCAGCAACUUUUAAGUUAGGGAUCGUUUGGUCUUUUUCCUCAUGCAUUUGACCCCUAAACUACGUCGUUUAACCCCUUAACUACGUGGUUUUGGUUAGUUUAAGCCUAGUAAACUAAUUAGAAGUUACCCUAAUCAAUCAUUCACCAUAAUCAAGCAAAACUUAGAGUAAAAUAGAGGAAAAAGUCAACCAGCCCUAGUUCAAGAACGCAACGAGUUUUCAUCCGUUCCUGCCUCGAAAUCGAAAGAUUUCUCCAUGGAAUUUAUCACUAGGUAUGUGGGAUUUCACUAGUGGGUUCCUUUCACCCAUUUGGUCCCUAGAAUUCAGUCAGAUUCUUGAUUCCUUUCAUAUUACCUAGACCUAGGGUUUCUAGAAUUUCAGCAGGCCGUUAUUAUGAAUUAGUUACUUUAAUGUUCCUAAUCAGAUUAUCAUGAUUUUAGUAUUGUUUUGCAUAGAUUCUUUCAUAAAUUUAGAACCCUAGCUAUGUAGUUCCUUUAGUUCAUGAAUUAGACAUGCUUUUGCAGUUAUCUCAUCUAUACAUGACUCAAAUUUGAAUGUUUCAUUAAUAGCACAUUAAUGUUGCAUUUUCAGUUAGCAUGUCAGUAUUUUGAGCUAUCAAGUGUUACAUAAAUUCAAUCAUAAAUUGUUAAUUACAUAAUCAAUUGGGAGUAGCUUAAUACCGAGUGGACUAGGGUCAGUCACCCUCAAGUCCCAAAACUACAUGCCCCUGUAGGUUUAUAAGUCCCCUCUAUGGAUAUUACAUUUUAGUGAUCAAGCCAGUCAUGCUUCUAUACCUCUGGCAGGGUAUAUUGGGUCCUCUCGAUGGGGCGUAUACAUCGGACUCCACAUUUAACUCAUGUGGUUUUAUGUUGGUUAUUAGUAGCUCCCUUACAGUCAGAUUUUAUUGCAUUGAUCAUGUUAUCAUCUCCAGUUAGAUUUCAGUCUCAUCAUGAUAUAAACUUGGUCAUUGCAUUCAGUCAUUUCAUGUUCAGUAUUCUCAGUUUAGUAUCAUGUUUAUCUCUUAUCAUUGCUUAGAUAUAUGCGUGUUCAGUUAUGUUUUUAUUCAGCUUUAUUCUAUCCUGCAUGCUCAGUACCUUUCAAGUACUGACGCAUAGUCUGAGCUACAUCUUCUCGUGAUGUAGGUUCAGGUCCUCAGCUUCAAGAUCACGCAUAAAUCAUUUCCCUAUCUUCAGCUCAGCUGUAUCAGUGGUGAGUCCUCUUUCUCCGAGGAUGACAUACAUGUUUCUUUUGCUUUUAGUCUUUAGUUUCAGUCUUUGCUAGAUUUAGUUGGGGCAUGUCCCAUCUCUUCUACCAGUUAGAGGCUUAUUUCAGACAUAGUUAGUUUCAACUUU
rnacentral:lncRNA from 1 species